rnacentral:rRNA from 1 species
GAUGAACGCUAGCGACAGGCUUAACACAUGCAAGUCGAGGGGCAGCGGGUAGAUGAGCUUGCUCAUUUAUGCCGGCGACCGGCGCACGGGUGAGUAACACGUAUGCAACCUGCCCCUGUCAGGGGGACAACCCGCCGAAAGGCGGGCUAAACCCGCGUACAUGCCACCGGGGCAUCCCGGAGGCAGGAAAGGCUUCGGCCGGACAGGGAUGGGCAUGCGGCGCAUUAGGCAGUAGGCGGGGUAACGGCCCACCUAACCGACGAUGCGUAGGGGUUCUGAGAGGAAGGUCCCCCACACUGGUACUGAGACACGGACCAG